CAGUAGCCACGGGAAUACAGAGGGUGCGAGCGUUAAUCGGAUUUACUGGGCGUAAAGCGAGCGCAGGCGGUUUCUUAAGUCUGAUGUGAAAGCCCCCGACUCAACCGGGGAGGGUCAUUGGAAACUGGGAGACUUGAGUGCAGAAGAGGAGAGUGGAAUUCCAUGUGUAGCGGUGAAAUGCGUGGAGAUCAAGAGGAACACUCGUGGCGAAAGCGAGCUACUGGACAAUAACUGACGCUGAGGCUCGAAGGCCAGGGUAGCGAAAGGGAUUAGAUACCCCUGUAGUCCCUGUCUCUUAUAC
rnacentral:rRNA from 1 species